rnacentral:rRNA from 1 species
UACGUAGGGUGCGAGCGUUAAUCGGAAUUACUGGGCGUAAAGCGUGCGCAGGCGGUUUUGCAAGCCGGAUGUGAAAUCCCCGGGCUCAACCUGGGAAUGGCAUUUGGGACUGCAAGGCUCGAGUGCGGCAGAGGAGACUGGAAUUCCUGGUGUAGCAGUGAAAUGCGUAGAUAUCAGGAGGAAUACCGAUGGCGAAGGCAGGUCUCUGGGCUGACACUGACGCUCAUGCACGAAAGCGUGGGAGCAACAGG